UACGGGGGGGGCAAGCGUUGUUCGGAAUUACUGGGCGUAAAGGGCUCGUAGGCGGCCAACUAAGUCGGACGUGAAAUCCCCAGGCUCAACCUGGGAACUGCGUCCGAUACUGGAUGGCUUGAAUUCGGGAGAGGGAUGCAGAAUUCCAGGUGUAGCGGUGAAAUGCGUAGAUAUCUGGAGGAACACCGGUGGCGAAGGCGGCGUUCUGGACUGCUACUGACACUGAGGAACGAAAGCCAGGGGAGCAAACGGG
rnacentral:rRNA from 1 species